AUACGGAGGGUGCAAGCGUUAAUCGGAAUUACUGGGCGUAAAGCGCGCGUAGGCGGUUUAGUAAGUCGGAUGUGAAAGCCCUGGGCUCAACCUGGGAAUUGCAUUCGAUACUGCUUGACUAGAGUAUGGUAGAGGGAAGUGGAAUUUCCGGUGUAGCGGUGAAAUGCGUAGAUAUCGGAAGGAACACCAGUGGCGAAGGCGACUUCCUGGGCCAAUACUGACGCUGAGGUGCGAAAGCGUGGGGAGCAAACAGGAUUAGAAACCCCAGUAGUCC
rnacentral:rRNA from 1 species